AUGGACCUCGUGGGCGGGAACGUGCGUCAGCGCUGGUUCCUCCUCUUUCUGGUGGCAGCUCCAGGAUGUGUCCUGUCUCAGGUACAGCUGCAGGAGUCAGGAACAGGCCUGGUGACGCCCUUGCAAACGCUGUCCCUCACCUGCUCGGUCUCUGGAUUCUCUCUAACCGACUAUGGUGUGAUCUGGGUCCGCAAGACCCCUGGAAAGGGACUGUAUUGGGUUGGUACUAUAGGGUAUGAUGGAAGCAAAUACUAUAACCCAAGUCUUCAGUCCCGACUCAGCAUCUCCAGGGAUACCUCCAAGAGCCAAGUUUACCUAAAGCUGAGCAACUCAGUAACUGAGGACACAGCCGUGUAUUAUUGUAGUUACUGUGCUGCUUCACAGCAACUCAUUGCCCAGGAUGAUUCACGACUGCUGUGUCAUUUGUAG